GCAGCCGAGCGGUAUUUCUUCUUCGGAAGAGAGAGAGCGGCGUACGGGUGCGUAACACGAUGUGCAACCUGCCUUUAUCUGGGGGAUAGCCUUUCGAAAGGAAGAUUAAUACCCCAUAAUAUAAUGACUGGCAUCAGUUAAUAUUGAAAACUCCGGUGGAUAGAGAUGGGCACGCGCAAGAUUAGAUAGUUGGUGAGGUAACGGCUCACCAAGUCAAUGAUCUUUAGGGGGCCUGAGAGGGUGAUCCCCCACACUGGUACUGAGACACGGACCAGACUCCUACGGGAGGCAGCAGUGAGGAAUAUUGGACAAUGGGUGAGAGCCUGAUCCAGCCAUCCCGCGUGAAGGACGACGGCCCUAUGGGUUGUAAACUUCUUUUGUACAGGGAUAAACCUACCCUCGUGAGGGUAGCUGAAGGUACUGUACGAAUAAGCACCGGCUAACUCCGUGCCAGCAGCCGCGGUAAUACGGAGGGUGCAAGCGUUAUCCGGAUUUAUUGGGUUUAAAGGGUCCGUAGGCGGGCCCGUAAGUCAGUGGUGAAAUCUCGCAGCUUAACUGUGAAACUGCCAUUGAUACUGCGGGUCUUGAGUAAAUUUGAAGUGGCUGGAAUAAGUAGUGUAGCGGUGAAAUGCAUAGAUAUUACUUAGAACACCAAUUGCGAAGGCAGGUCACUAAGAUUUAACUGACGCUGAUGGACGAAAGCGUGGGGAGCGAACAGGAUUAGAUACCCUGGUAGUCCACGCCGUAAACGAUGCUAACUCGUUUUUGGAUUUUCGGAUUCAGAGACCAAGCGAAAGUGAUAAGUUAGCCACCUGGGGAGUACGAACGCAAGU
rnacentral:rRNA from 1 species